rnacentral:rRNA from 1 species
UACGUAGGGGGCAAGCGUUGUCCGGAAUUAUUGGGCGUAAAGGGCGCGUAGGCGGUUUCUUAAGUCUGAUGUGAAAGCCCACAGCUUAACUGUGGAGGGUCAUUGGAAACUGGGGAACUUGAGUGCAGAAGAGGAGAGUGGAAUUCCACGUGUAGCGGUGAAAUGCGUAGAUAUGUGGAGGAACACCAGUGGCGAAGGCGACUCUCUGGUCUGUAACUGACGCUGAGGCGCGAAAGCGUGGGGAGCAAACAGG